CCCCACUCAGGGUCACACCUGGAGAGUUUCUGGAACUCUACCAGUCUGGACUAUGGGAGGGAGAGUCAGGCAGAGGUAUUCCCAUUCCAUUCCUAGCUUGGGCAGUGGCUAGCGAGUGGAAGGCAAUCUGCUACAAGU